UGACUUCCUUUAAUGGUUAAUACCUGAGC
rnacentral:piRNA from 1 species